UACGGAGGUCCCAAGCGUUAUCCGGAUUUAUUGGGCUUAAAGGGUGCGUAGGCGGGCUAUUAAGUCAGGGGUGAAAGCCCCAAGCUUAACUUGGGAACUGCCAUUGAUACUGAUGGUCUUGAGUACAUUUGAGGUGGGCGGAAUGUGUCAUGUAGCGGUGAAAUGCUUAGAUAUGACACAGAACACCGAUUGCGAAGGCAGCUCACUAAACUGUAACUGACGCUGAGGCACGAAAGCUAGGGGAGCAAACGGG
rnacentral:rRNA from 1 species